UAGCAACGGACUAGCAAUAAAAGCUUAAAAAUUUUACAAUGGAUUAGCAAUGGAUUUGCAAUGAAAGCAUCAUAAGAAUUAUUUAGUUUGCAGACUCAUUACUCAAAAAUGGACAACGAAACAAUUUCAUUGCUAUUCCAUUGCUUAAAAAUUUUAACAACAGACUAGCAACCGAAAUCAGCUGCAUUGCUAAUUAGCUACAAGAUUUUUAAUAACACAAGCAAAUUUGUUUUUAUUCCAUUGCUAAAUAUUUUAACAAUGAAAUAGCAAUGGAAUAGAAAUGGAUUUUAUCCAUUGCUAAACAAUCUUUUUCUGGUAGUGAGAAACUAGGGAGAGAA
rnacentral:lncRNA from 1 species